CCUACGGGAUGCAGCAGUCGAGAAUCAUUCACAAUGGGGGAAACCCUGAUGGUGCGACGCCGCGUGGGGGAAUGAAGGUCUUCGGAUUGUAAACCCCUGUCAUGUGGGAGCAAAUUAAAAAGAUAGUACCACAAGCAGAAGAGACGGCUAACUCUGUGCCAGCAGCCGCGGUAAUACAGAGGUCUCAAGCGUUGUUCGGAAUCACUGGGAGUAAAGCGUGCGUAGGCUGUUUCGUAAGUCGUGUGUGAACGGUCCGGGCGCAACCCGCGGACGGCACCUGAUACUGCGAGAACAGAGAAAUGGAGGGGGAACCGGAAUUCUCGGUGUAGCAGUGAAAUGCGUAGAUAUCGAGAGGAACACUCGGGGCGAAGGCGGGUUCCUGGACAUUAACUGACGCUGAGGCACGAAGGCCAGGGGAGCGAAAGGGAUUAGAUACCCUUGUAGUC
rnacentral:rRNA from 1 species